rnacentral:rRNA from 1 species
AGCGAACGCUGGCGGCAGGCUUAACACAUGCAAGUCGAGCGGGCAUCUUCGGAUGUCAGCGGCAGACGGGUGAGUAACACGUGGGAACGUACCCUUCGGUUCGGAACAACUCUGGGAAACUGGAGCUAAUACCGGAUACGCCCUUAUGGGGAAAGGUUUACUGCCGAAGGAUCGGCCCGCGUCUGAUUAGCUAGUUGGUGGGGUAACGGCCUACCAAGGCAACGAUCAGUAGCUGGUCUGAGAGGAUGAUCAGCCACACUGGGACUGAGACACGGCCCAGACUCCUACGGGAGGCAGCAGUGGGGAAUAUUGGACAAUGGGCGCAAGCCUGAUCCAGCCAUGCCGCGUGAGUGAUGAAGGCCUUAGGGUUGUAAAGCUCUUUUGUCCGGGACGAUAAUGACGGUACCGGAAGAAUAAGCCCCGGCUAACUUCGUG